AAGUCGUAACAAGGUCUCCGUUGGUGAACCAGCGGAGGGAUCAUUACCGAGUUCCAUCUCGACAACCCUUUGUGAACCAAACCUAUUGUUGCUUCGGCGGCGCGGAACGCCUCUCGCAGGCGCGCCGCGCCCGCCGGUAACCCCAGAAUCUCUGUUCGAACCCGACGUUACUUCUGAGUGUUCUAAGCGAACUGUUAAAACUUUCAACAACGGAUCUCUUGGCUCUAGC
rnacentral:misc_RNA from 1 species